GCAGAGGCUGGGCUGAGGUAUUCUAGAAAGAUGACGUCGGCUCACUCCCACAUUACCUCACUGGUGACAGCUUCACUCUUCUGCCCAGAGCUGAUAAGAAACACCACCCUGGGAAGACCAGGCCCCUCUCUUCCUCACUUCCUAAUCAGGCUGGAAAUAGUGUCAAAUAUAUUCAUCACUCUUUACGAGCAUCGCUGGGUCAUGUCCAGGACGUCUUCUGGGUUCCCUGUCAGCUUACAAAGUCGUACCUCUCCAGAGCAGCCCUAGGCCACCCUGUUUGGGCUGUAAACAAUCAGCAACAGGAAUCAAAGACAGAAAAGAAUGACAUUGACCUUCGAACCUGUUCGUGAAGAUUGUAUGAAACUGAGGAUGUUCGCUCUUUUAAAAAUUUCUGUCUUAAAAAAAAAAAAAAAAAUCUGUCUUUAAACCCCUUCACCUGCCCCUGAGUGAACCGAGAACAGGAACAGAAAUAGCGAAUGCAAAGAUGAUUCGGGUUGAGGGUUAAGUGGAAAAUACCCACCUGGACUGAAGGAAGCCUUGCCAAAAGGUAAAUGCGUGAACAGCUUCCUAGUCCCCGGGUAAUGACAAUUUCUGAGUCCCUCAGGACCGUUUCUGAGAACCUGUGGAGAAGUGGAGAAGAAUCUGGAAGCUAAAAAGUAACCUUUCCUCCACUUGCUCUGAAGAUAGAAGCAAAAGAAGAUUUAAUGGUACCAAAAGCUGCUAACAUAGGCAACAGAGUCACUUCCUAUCGGGAAGGUGCCUCCCUGGAGCAAAAGGAUGGAAACUAUCUGCUAAAAGUCUAUUAUCCCGGAGGCCCCCCAAGAAUGUGACCUCCCACACCUUCACCCUCUGGGCCUUCUCCAAUGGUACUAGAAGGUGUGACUGAAAGUGCCGGAAACUCGUCAGGGGAACACAUGGACUUGGGGGCAGAGGCAGAUCUGAAGCUGAAUUUAUUGCCUCUUUCCCAAACUCAGAGGACAGACACGUUGUAAACCCUCCUCAUCCUCACUCCUGGGGGCCCAGGAUAAAGCCCCUUCAUCUUCCAGACAGAAAACAAGGGGCCCUGAGACUGUCGGAGCUUCCCCAGAUGUUGUUUUGGCAGAACCAUAAUGGGGCCGGGCCUCCCGGGGCUGGGUGUCUGGGGCAGGAAGCUGGCAUCACAGCUGUGAUGGCCAAAGACUGCCCCCCUCCACCGCCACCCCGACCCCCAGGUGGGGCCUGAAGUGUGAUGAGAGACAGACUCAAGAAAGAGGAACACAAGGAAGAAUCUGCAGAAGAGGGCCGGCCACGUCCCGCCUCUGGCCUUCUGGCUCUGGGCCCACGGUAUUUGUCAGCUGUCCUGUGGCUCAGCGCUAGGGGUGGCCAAGCAUUCGAUCCUAUCGGUAUGGUUGAUCCGUAUGGUUUGGGGGAAGGGGUCUGGGAGCCAGAUUGGGACCCACUGCCCUGAGGCUCUGUUCGCUUCUCUGUGGCAAGAGAAUGUGCCCAGGACAUCCACCCUGACUCUCCCUUCAUCUGUGAUCUGUGCUCCAUACCGCUGACUCCCUGGGGCCCGGUCGGAUAUGUGAUCACCAGAUCUCCUGGUUCGGUGACAGAGAUCCCAGGGCCUACUUCCUGAGCUGAUACCCCAUAUCCAGUUAGGGACCCAGUCCUGUCGAUCAUCCUUUUGAAACAGCUUCUACUCUGCAUCACUAAAGCUUCUGCCACCAGAUCUUGCCUGGACAAUCACAAGAGUCCCCUACACGCUCUGUCUGCCCGGAGAGCUCCGCUUCACACCCUUUUCUCUGUCUGUCCUCUGCCAUAAGAACUCCUAACCGCAGAUUUAUUUUGUCUCUCUUCUGCUUAAAAUCCUUUAAAGGCUCCUUAAAAGUUCAAAUUUGUACCUGGGCCUUCAAGGCCUUUAUAAUCUGAGCCAACCUCUAAGCUCAGUUAACCUCAUUCUCAGUGUUUCUUAAACAUACACUUGUACUUCGGUCCCCCUGUGCCUUUGCUCAUAUUGUGUGCCCAGCCUAGAAUUCUCUUUGUUCACAUCUUUGCCCAUCAAAUAGGCUAUUCAUUCCUUCAAGACCUGGUUUCUAUGUCACCUCUUAUGUGAAGCCUUCCUGGAUUCACCACAACCUCCAACACGCCAUUGUGAUUAGUCACUUCCUCUCUUCUUUAUAACUCCAGAGCUCAUAGACUGAUGUUACAGUUCAUUGUGUAGCCCCGUGAGACUGGGGUCCCUUGAAAAUGGGGUCUGGCUUGUACUUUUGUACUUCAAUACCCGCCGCACACGUUGGCCCUUGGCACACAGUAGGGACUCGGUGAAUCUGGUUGAAUUCACUUCUUCAUGCAAAUUAUAGAGAGAGAGAACGUUAUUCUUCCCAUAUUAGUGAAGGAAAAAGUAUGCACAGACAGGAUGAUGGACGGGUCAGAAAGGACACCAAAAGGGGGUGGGGAGUGGGCCUGGGAAGGGGUUCUAAAUCUUACUGCCUUCCCCCACAGGAGUAAGAAUAAGGUCAGUGGGGACAAAUCUCUCCGCAGAUUAAGAAUGGGUGGACUCAGCUGUUUAGGCUGUUGGCCCUGUUUUUUCUUUUUUUCAAGAUUGUAUUUAUUUGACCACAACCUGGGCCCAAAAGCAGAUGCUCAACCCACUGAGCCACCCAGGCGCCCCCAGCCCAGUUCUGAUGUUGACUGACCUUGAUGGUUCACAAUUAAACUUCUGAACUGGCUUAUAAUUUAUUUAUUCUAGUGUAGUGUUUAGAGCCCAUGCCCUGGAGCCACACUGCUUGGAACCUAACUGUGCAAUCUUGUUAUUAAGCCUCUCUGUGCUCUGCUCUUCUCUUUUCUUUCUUUCUUUUUUUCUUUCUUCCUUUCUUUCUUUUUUUUUCAGUUUCUUUAUCUAUAAUAUGAGGCUAACAGUUCUCACCUCAUACAGCUGUGGCCUUAAAUGAGUUCACAAUGUACUUAGCUUUGUGCCUGGCACAUGAUAGUGGUCAGUACACGUUAAUCAUUAUUACUUACAAUUUGUAUUUUGCUUCCUUCCAAGAAGAAUUCGAGACACCUUAAAAUAUUGAACCACACAUAUAAAAGAGGUUAAUUAUAUGUACUUAUUUAUAUUUUAUUACCAAACCAAUUGGUAGUAGGAGGGAGAGAGAUAAAGUUAGGUAUUUGCUAAUGUGUCUGAAUUAGUUCCUUUAUUGACCCCUUAAUUAUCUGUGAGAUUCCCAGAAGCCAAGGCAAGAAAGGAAUACAUGCAUUACAUAGUUUUCAUUGUGAAAUGUAAGAAAACAUUCAAAUUAGCCUGUUAAAGUAACACCCCUCCCCUGGCUCAGUGGAUUAAAUCCUCUGCCUUCAGCUAGGGUCCU